AUGUUCACUUUAGCAACACAUAUACAAAACUUGGAGGAAUACAGAUAUUAGCAUGGCCUCAGUGCAAAAAAAAUGACAUUCAAAUCUAAGAAAUACUUCAUAUAUUU